ensembl:lncRNA
UUCAAGCUAAACUGCCUCAGGUCUUUCUUCCCAUUUUCCCUAAUCAGAUACUCUCUUGGUUCAAGCCAAGAACUUUUGGUAUUCAUUGUUGUAUUUGUUAGAGCCUGGAGGGGGUGAUACUUACGGGGUCUGUUAACAAGCACUGCUCAUGGAGAGAAGGAACUUUCCCCAGAUCACUCUCCUUCUACAGCUCCAUACACAGAUGCAAGCUGCCUGUUACCAGUGUUCAGUAUGAAAAGGAGAUUAAAAUAUUAUCAGGAUCAUUACAAACUGCUCCAUGUCAGGAACCUUUUCUAUAGGUAAACUCCCCUUUGUUUAAGACUUCUGUUUGUGCAAGAUUAAGUUUAUAAAUUUGAGACUGUUCAUACUUUUGUAUUUGACACUGAAUGAACCUGAUUUUUUAGCUUCUGAGGUUGCAGCAACUUCAACACUUCUUCAAAAGAUCUAAAGGAAAAUACUGUUGUAGAUAUCUACUAUCUAUUGUGGAUGCUAUAUCAACACUUUUAUUGGUUGAUUAUGAAAUACAAAAUUUUUGGUAAGGGAACUAUUGUUUUAUUGUUACAAACUUUGUAAGACUUCAUGGUGAAAGCUGAAAUGCAUAUUUGCAAGAGAGAGAUCUUUCUGAACAAGAAUUCUGUUUUUGGCUGAUUAAGGUGGGUAUAGAAACUGGGGCAAAUACGGUAGGAAUGUAAUCUAUUACAGAACAGUAUUUUGUUUUAUUUAUCAGGAACAUGUUAUAUUGGGUUCUUUAGACAUAAAACAAUGUGUUAGUACAUUAAGUAGCUCUAUCAUCCCAAUCGUUCCCAGUCUUCCUUUUUUCAAGAGUUUUAUAUGUAUUUUUCCAGCUCUGGCAAGUUUCUCAGAAAAUCUGAUUCUCAAAGGUGCCAGGAAUCAGCAUUUGCUCCCAGCUUCAAUGAGAAAGUACUUAACAUUGUUAAACACUGAUUCUGAAGGGAAGAUUUUGACAACAUGGAAUCUAAACUUAGCAUCUAAUAUCCUAAGAAUGUUGAAACAAACAUCAUAGGAAUCAGAAAAAUAUAUUUUUCUUGCAUUAGACUUCUCAAAAUUUUGUUAGAAUGUUCAUCUCAACAAAUAGGACGUAGUAAGGCCUCCCAGAAUGCCAAAUAGAAGGUUUUCCAGCUUCUUUCUCCAUGUUUUGC